GGAAGCGUGCUAGAGAGGUUGAAUAGGCCGCACUCGAAAUGCGGUAUGCCCGCAAGGGCAUCGGAGGUUCGAAUCCUCCCGCUUCCG
rnacentral:tRNA from 1 species